rnacentral:rRNA from 1 species
GUGGGGAAUCUUAGACAAUGGGGGAAACCCUGAUCUAGCCAUGCCGCGUGAGCGAUGAAGGCCUUAGGGUUGUAAAGCUCUUUCAGCUGGGAAGAUAAUGACGGUACCAGCAGAAGAAGCCCCGGCUAACUCCGUGCCAGCAGCCGCGGUAAUACGGAGGGGGCUAGCGUUGUUCGGAAUUACUGGGCGUAAAGCGCGCGUAGGCGGACCAGAAAGUUGGAGGUGAAAUCCCAGGGCUCAACCUUGGAACUGCCUUCAAAACUCCUGGUCUGGAGUUCGAGAGAGGUGAGGGGAAUUCCGAGUGUAGAGGUGAAAUUCGUAGAUAUUCGGAGGAACCACAGUGGCGAAGGCGGCUCACUGGCUCGAUACUGACGCUGAGGUGCGAAAGCGUGGGGAGCAAACAGGAUUAGAAACCCUUGUAGUCC